GAUGAACGCUGGCGGCGUGCCUAAUACAUGCAAGUCGAGCGAACAGACGAGGAGCUUGCUCCUCUGACGUUAGCGGCGGACGGGUGAGUAACACGUGGAUAACCUACCUAUAAGACUGGGAUAGCUUCGGGAAACCGGAGCUAAUACCGGAUAAUAUAUUGAACCGCAUGGUUCAAUAGUGAAAGACGGUUUUGCUGUCACUUAUAGAUGGAUCCGCGCCGCAUUAGCUAGAUGGUAAGGUAACGGCUUACCAAGGCAACGAUGCGUAGCCGACCUGAGAGGGUGAUCGGCCACACUGGAACUGAGACACGGUCCAGACUCCUACGGGAGGCAGCAGUAGGGAAUCUUCCGCAAUGGGCGAAAGCCUGACGGAGCAACGCCGCGUGAGUGAUGAAGGUCUUCGGAUCGUAAAACUCUGUUAUUAGGGAAGAACAAAUGUGUAAGUAACUAUGCACGUCUUGACGGUACCUAAUCAGAAAGCCACGGCUAACUACGUG
rnacentral:rRNA from 1 species